CCCCAUCCUGGCCAAGCUGGAGGCACAUUUCAGACGAUGUGAUGAAGACAGUGUUUUCACCUCUUCAAUAAAAGGGAAAGUCUGGGGUAGUCUGCAGAAAAGAUAUCAGGAUGAAAACCUUCAGAAAUUUCUGAAGGAGGCCACGAUGAUGGACCCACGUUUUAAAGGCAGGCUAGGUGGUGAGGCAGCUACUGACAUCUGGGACAGGUUGGAGAAGGCAGCAGUUGCAAAUGCCACAGCAGCAGUUGCACAGCCUCCCACUGAGGACCCCAAAGCACACAGCGAGGUGGAUGAUGCUGACAUGGACAAGCCAGAA